CGUGUAGGUGGUUUAACAAGUCAGAUGUGAAAGCCCUGGGCUUAACUCAGGAAGUGCAUUUGAAACUGUUUUUCUAGAGUAUGGGAGAGGAGAGUGGAAUUCCCAGUGUAGAGGUGAAAUUCGUAGAUAUUGGGAGGAACACCGGUGGCGAAGGCGACUCUCUGGACCAAUACUGACACUGAGACGCGAAAGCGUGGGGAGCAAACA
rnacentral:rRNA from 1 species